rnacentral:rRNA from 1 species
UACGUAGGGGGCAAGCGUUGGUCCGGAUUUAUUGGGCGUAAAGAGCGUGUAGGCGGCCAUACAGGUCAGCUGUGAAAACUCGAGGCUCAAACCUCGGAGACGUCGGUUGAAACCGGUAUGGCUAGAGUCCGGAAGAGGAGGAGUGGGAAUUCCCGGUGUAGCGGUGAAAUGACGCAGAUAUCGGGAAGAACACCCGUGGCGAAGGCGGCUCUCUGGGACGGUACUGGACGCUGAGACGGCGAAAAGCGUGGGGAGCGAAC